AACAUCAGCUAAUGGCUUUUGCAUCUCACUGAAAGGAGCAUUUCUUUAUGUAGAUCCUGCUUCUAUAGGAGUAUUGCAGCAGUCGAUGAGUGACCAAAUGGCAUUGACAACUUCAGAGAAGGGAGUUCUCUACUCUGAAAUGAGGAAGGACAUAGGAAAAAGAAAUGUGUAUGCCAAGGCUCAAAGUAGAUUGAGCUGCCCAGACUCUUAAGCCCAGACAAAAACAGAAUGGGUCUCAGCUGCAAGGGGCGAUGCUGGAAAGGUGGCUGAGUCUGAUUCCUGAAUGGCAAACAGAGAAUGCCCCAUGUCCACUUUGAGGUAUUGGAAAGAGUUGGGAUAGAAUGUCACCGAUCGUACCAGCAUUGUCUCCUUCCCCAUUCAAUGACCGGUCAAACUCCUCUGCAGACAGAUGACCUGUUAUCCUUCCCCAAGAUACACCAGCACCAUUUCCAUGAGUUGAUGGUGGCUGGCAAGAGCAGUUCACAGAAAUAGCUGAAGGAAACUCAGAUGUGCCUAUAUAACUUUAGUGUGGCAGAAAAACUGGAGGAAGAGAACUGGCUUUGCAGUUGAAUUAUUGAACUACAGUGCUGUUUAGGAAAAUAAGCUGUGAAAUCUAACAGGGAUGUUGCUAUAUUUCAUCUAGUCUUUUCUUUUAUUAUUUCUUUUAAAUUCAAAACCAUCAGUUCUUGAAAGAGUCUUGGAAGUAUUACAAC
rnacentral:lncRNA from 1 species